CUCCUCAUUUCUUUACAUUCAAUGUGUGGU
rnacentral:piRNA from 1 species